GGGAGGGCGCAGCGAUAUGCCCCGCCCUCUCAUGCCGGCUCCUCCCCCUUCCUGCUUGCCGUCGUCGCCACCGCGGGGGCUGUUGGGAAGGGGAAGUUGCUCGCGGCUCCUUGGAGUUCUGCCAGGGUUGGUGGCCAUCUUGGGAUCGGGCAGAGGGUCAGUGUUUCUAUCGAGCCACCGCUGUCUAUGGGCCCGCCGAAAGAAGGGCGUACACGCCGGAAACCCCCUGGAGCCACCAGGAGUGUUGGAGAGGCCCCUGGUAUACCCAAAUCGAGGAACGUGCUAAGACUUAAACGCUCCCGAUUUUAGGGGGACGAAUCGGCUCUGAAAAUCCGCCGAGGGACGGGGGGUGGUUUUGAUAGCUCCCAGCCGCGCGGUGAGGCUGCAGCCUCCGGAUGCCAGGCCCUCCGACCCCAACCUCUUUCCGUCCAGAGCUGCCUUUGUAAAUACUGCAGAGGUACCCCGAGAGUAUGAGCCAUCUUUCAGGGGACCAAGGUCAUUUGCUUAGGCCUCUCCAACACGAUGUCAUUAGUUUACUAGAAGAUGAAAGCACGUCUCGCAGUUUUGACGUUCGGUUUCCACACUGCUAACUACUGCCUCCUGGAAACUGCUCCCUUGGUUCCAUCACCCUGCAUUCUCCAGCCUCUCUCCCUGUGUCUUGGGCCCUCUUCUUCAAGUCUUCUUUGCAGAAUGUUCUUCCUCUCCAUCCUUGGUUCUUUCUGCCUACUGUAUUAUACAGUCUCUGAUAGUACCAUAUAUAUAUAUACUCUUCCUCUAUCACUUUUUUCAGUCAGGGAUCAAGUCUGAAUCUUGAACACUGAUCACAUUCAGAACCAGAUGUAUCUUCAACCCCUUAUUGUGUGGAGAAUGGACAGGACAUGCGAAGUGUUUAAUGUCUGAUGUAUGGGAAAUGUUCAAUAAAUGGUAAUAAAUACUAUUAUUAUUAGC